AUUGAACGCUGGCGGCAGGCCUAACACAUGCGAGUCGAGCGGAUGAAGGGAGCUUGCUCCUGGAUUCAGCGGCGGACGGGCGAGUAAUGCCUAGGAAUCUGCCUGGUAGUGGGGGAUAACGUCCGGAAACGGGCGCUAAUACCGCAUACGUCCUGAGGGAGAAAGUGGGGGAUCUUCGGACCUCACGCUAUCAGAUGAGCCUAGGUCGGAUUAGCUAGUUGGUGGGGUAAAGGCCUACCAAGGCGACGAUCCGUAACUGGUCUGAGAGGAUGAUCGGUCACACUGGAACUGAGACACGGUCCAGACUCCUACGGGAGGCAGCAGUGGGGAAUAUUGGACAAUGGGCGAAAGCCUGAUCCAGCCAUGCCGCGUGUGUGAAGAAGGUCUUCGGAUUGUAAAGCACUUUAAGUUGGGAGGAAGGGCAGUAAGUUAAUACCUUGCUGUUUUGACGUUACCAACAGAAUAAGCACCGGCUAACUUCGUG
rnacentral:rRNA from 1 species